rnacentral:rRNA from 1 species
UACGUAGGGUGCAAGCGUUAAUCGGAAUUACUGGGCGUAAAGCGUGCGCAGGCGGUUCUAUAAGACAGAUGUGAAAUCCCCGGGCUCAACCUGGGAACCGCAUUUGUGACUGUAGAGCUGGAGUACGGCAGAGGGGGAUGGAAUUCCGCGUGUAGCAGUGAAAUGCGUAGAUAUGCGGAGGAACACCGAUGGCGAAGGCAAUCCCCUGGGCCUGUACUGACGCUCAUGCACGAAAGCGUGGGGAGCAAACAGG